rnacentral:rRNA from 1 species
GACAGAGGAUGCAAGCGUUAUCCGGAAUGAUUGGGCGUAAAGCGUCUGUAGGUGGCUUUUUUAAGUCCGCCGUCAAAUCCCAGGGCCUCAACCCCUGGACAGGCGGUGGAAACUACCAAGCUGGAGUACGGUAGGGGCAGAGGGAAUUUCCGGUGGAGCGGUGAAAUGCGGUAGAGAUCGGAAAGAACACCAACAGCGAAAGCACUCUGCUGGGCCGACACUGACACUGAGAGACGAAAGCUAGGGGAGCGAAUGGG